GCCAUCUGUGCGAAGGCCAUCUAUCAGGGCACCAAGGCCAUCUGUACCAAGGCCAUCUGUCAGGGUACCAAGACCAUCUGUCAGGGUACCAAGGCCAUCUGCCAGGGCACCAAGGCCAUCUGUCAGGCUACUAAGGACUUCUGUCAGUGCACCAAGGACAUCUGUCAGUGCACCAAGGACAUCUGUCAGGGUACUAAGGCCAUCUACGCUCAUUGGCUACAGCCUCUCAUGUCUACACCAAUGCUGACAUACGGGAGGCGCCAGAAAAGAAACUGAGGAAGCUGACCUGUUCUACUCUCUCCCAUGACAACACAUACCUGAGGUCUCUUCCUCAAACCAGCUACUACCUGAUCUUGGGCCUUCAGAACCAGUUGUCUCGGCAUGGUUGUCUGAAGACCAUCCAGGACCAUGAGGACUUCUGUUUCACGGUUAACCACCACAACCACAACCGUGGUCCAGUCCAGCUGCAGAGAACACUACAGGAGAUCAGGAAGAGGAUGAUUGGCAGCCGCUCCACAUCUGAUGUGAUGUCAGCGGGAUGGGGUUGGAGCCAGCAGGAGAUGUUAGUACAGCCCCCUAGAAUUCACGUCACCACCGCGGAGAGAAGACACCUGGACCGGAUUGUCCCUUCAGAGACAGGGAAAAGGCUUAUGCCGGGAGAGAGACUUCCAGAAAGAGGGACUGGCGAGAGACUUCCAGAAAGAGGGCCUGGGGAGAGACUUCCAGAAAGAGGGCCAGGGGAGAGACUUCCAGAAAGAGGGCCAGGGGAGAGACUUCCAGAAAGAGGGGCUGGGGAGAGACUUCCAAAAAAAGGGACUGGCGAGAGACUUCCAGAAAGAGGGUCUGGGGAGAGGCUUCCAGAAAGAGGGUCUGGGGAGAGACUUCCAGAAAGAGGGGCUGCGGAGAACUCUGCAGCCUUCCUCCUCUCACAGCAGCAGGAACAGGACUAUACUGAGCAAAUGUUUCCCAAGGUGAAGGUUCCCAAGUUUGCAACCCUUCAGCCUAGUUUUCUGAAGAACUUGAAGACGGUGAUGCCAACUUUGACGCAGUAUGUAUUUCCGAGUGUUCACUCUAACGAAGAGAAGAAGAGGUGUGCUGGGAACCUUCCUCCUCUCCUUCCUCUCCCUCCUCCUCCUCUGUCCUACCAGGAAUGGGAUAGGAUCAACCCAGAGGAUUCAGAGGUCCCUAGCCUGGGCCUGGAAGGGCUUGGGCUGAGGACCACACCCUCUGCUGGAAACACAGAAAUAUGUAGCAAGACUCCUGAGCCUUUAUCCAUAGAGGAUGUGUGUCAACGCAACCCUUCAGUGGUGAUAGGUUGUGGAUAUAAGCUUUGGAGGAAUUAUGACGAGGAGACAGCCUAUUGGGUAUCUUCUUUUGACGUGAAGGCCACUAGGCUACAACAAUCACCAAUCACCAAUCACCAAUAACAUGAAUAAGAUAAAAGGAUUAUGAGAUGAUGUAUUAUUUUGAGACCAGUUCACUUUGAGACCAGUUCACUUUGAGACCGUUCACUGAGAGACCCGUUCACUGAGAAACCAGUUCACUGAGAGACCAGUUCACUUUGAGACCAGUUCACUGAGAGACCCGUUCACUGAGAGACCAGUUCACUUUGAGACCAGUUCACUGAGAGACCAGUUCACUUUGAGACCAGUUCACUUUGAGACCAGUUCACUUUGAGACCAGUUCAGUUUGAGACCAGUUCAGUUUGAGACCAGUUCACUGAGAGACCAGUUCACUGAGAGACCAGUUCACUUAGAGACCAGUUCACUGAGAGACCAGUUCACCGAGAGACCAGUUCACCGAGAGACCAAUUCACUGAGAGACCAGUUCACUUAGAGACCAGUUCACUUUGAGACCAGUUCACUUAGAGACCAGUUCACUUUGAGUGUGAACAGAGUAUAGCCUACUAAUCUGGAUUCCUAUUUUGUUUCUCUUUGACUAUAACAACAACAACAACAAAACGAUAUAGUUGUUUUUACAAAUAAAAUGUACUAUUAGCAGUAUGUAUUUUACUUAUAGAAUGUAUCAUCAACAAUAUGAGUAAAGAACUAAAGGCAAAUAAUGAAUAGAAAAGCAAUUCUUUAGCUACCAAUUAUUUUUAAGAGAAAUUUAACCAAUGUGUAUUUAGAAUGACA
rnacentral:lncRNA from 1 species